CCUACGGGAGACAGCAGUGGGGGAUAUUGCACAAUGGGGGAAACCCUGAUGCAGCGACGCCGCGUGAGUGAAGAAGUAUUUCGGUAUGUAAAGCUCUAUCAGCAGGGAAGAAAAUGACAGUACCUUACCAAAAAGCCCCGGCUAACUACGGGCCAGCAGCCGCGGUAAUACGUAGGGGGCAAGCGUUAUCCGGAUUUACCGGGUGUAAAGGGAGCGUAGACGGUGAGGUAAGUCUGGAGUGAAAGCCCGGGGCCCAACCCCGGGACUGCUUUGGAAACUGUGUAACUGGAGUACAGGAGGGGCAGGCGGAAUUCCUGGGGUAGCGGUGAAAUGCGUAGAUAUCAGGAGGAACACCGGCGGCGAAGGCGGCCUGCUGGACUGCAACUGACGUUGAGGCUCGAAAGCGUGGGGAGCGAACAGGAUUAGAUACCCGGGUAGUC
rnacentral:rRNA from 1 species